rnacentral:lncRNA from 1 species
ACAACCCGAUUAUUCAACAGGGAACAUUGAGCCAGGUCUUACAAGCUCUAAAUAGGAAGAGGCUUUGGAGCCAGCAGCAACGUUUUGGGGAAGACUUCAGAAUGUGCUAACCCCAGCAGUACGUUCAUUUGAGUUGGCUGUGCUGUGCAACUUUUGCUGUGGUCAGUGGUGUUACCUGCUAGGAAUCAUUAUAAAUGUUGUCUGAGUAUCAGCCUGGAGAAAAGAAUGCGGCAGCAGUGACCAACUUUUGCUGACAAAAUGCAGAGAGGAUGCCUGGGUAAUGGAAACAAGAUGGAGGAGCCUUGCUGGCUAGUCUUGGUUUUGGAAAGUCUGAUGGGAGACAUCCAGAGUCAAAGUCAGAGCCUGGUUCCUGCACUGAGCCAUGGGGGACCAGUGACAGACUUGUCCAUGAGGGUUUCCACAAGUGUCCCCCAGACCACGCAGGCCGAUGACAGGCUAGUGCUAGUGCUUGGAUGGAUCAGGAGGAACAACUUGCCAGCGUGCACAUGGCAAUGUGCAGCCAGACCUGACGUGAUGUUCAGCCAGUAUGUCUUCUGUAUACAGGCUGCCAGCAUGAGUCUGAGGACAUCCCUUCUACCCAUGUCUCUGAAUCUCAGUUGUGAGCAAAAUACAGUUAGCUGGCAACAGCUGUGUGCAUGA